rnacentral:lncRNA from 1 species
AGAGAAUGCAGCACUCUCCUGAUCUAAUGAGCUUUAUGAUGGAGUUGAAGAUGCUUUUGGAAGUUGCCUUAAAGAAUAGACAAGAGCUGUAUGCACUACCUCCUCCUCCCCAGUUCUACUCAAGCCUUAUUGAAGAGAUAGGAACUCUUGGUUGGGAUAAAGACAAGGUUUUGCUGUAUUGCCCAGGCGAGUCUCACACUCCUGGGCUGAAAUGAUUCUCCUGCCUCAGCCUCCCAAAAUGCUGGGAUUAACAGGUGUUCGCUGCCAUGCCUGGCCUAGGAUGAAUAAAUGACUUUCGAUUUAGCUGCUGUUACUUAAUCAUUUGUUUUAUACUGUUUAAAAAUAAAGAAUGUUUUAGCAGAAGAGAA